rnacentral:rRNA from 1 species
GGACGAACGCUGGCGGCGUGCUUAACACAUGCAAGUCGACCGGAAAGGCCCUGCUUUUGUGGGGUGCUCGAGUGGCGAACGGGUGAGUAACACGUGAGUAACCUGCCCUUGACUUUGGGAUAACUUCAGGAAACUGGGGCUAAUACCGGAUAGGAGCUCCUGCUGCAUGGUGGGGGUUGGAAAGUUUCGGCGGUUGGGGAUGGACUCGCGGCUUAUCAGCUUGUUGGUGGGGUAGUGGCUUACCAAGGCUUUGACGGGUAGCCGGCCUGAGAGGGUGACCGGCCACAUUGGGACUGAGAUACGGCCCAGACUCCUACGGGAGGCAGCAGUGGGGAAUAUUGCACAAUGGGCGGAAGCCUGAUGCAGCAACGCCGCGUGCGGGAUGACGGCCUUCGGGUUGUAAACCGCUUUCGCCUGUGACGAAGCGUGAGUGACGGUAAUGGGUAAAGAAGCACCAGCUAACUACGUG